rnacentral:sRNA from 1 species
UAUAACGAAUUGCUAUUAUUAUAGUGUUUUAUGCUAUUGCUAGUUCGAAGGGAGUAUUAAACGUUCUACCAGGAGAGGUAUUGUUCGGUAUCAAUAGGGAUAUAAAAAAAGCGCCUUGCGGCGCUUUUUUU